GAAAGAAGAUUGUGGGCUGAGUAUUGGACAUCUGUUCUUGAAUAGUCCCUGGGCCUGCCAUAGGAAAGGAAGUUCUCCUGGGUUACGGU
rnacentral:lncRNA from 1 species